AGAAUAUCAACAAUGAGUCUUGUUUGUGAGAUACUACCUGAUUUUGUUUAUGUGGUAUCAGUUUUUAUAUUCCAGUUACUUACAGACAGUCAUAAUAGAGAAGUGAAAUCUUUAUGUAGAUUUUCAGCUUUUUUACAAAGUACAAGGUAAAUUUAUUAUCAAAAUUAUAUUCUGUACGUAACCUUUUAAUCCUGAAAUUAGUUUUCUUGUGGACAUACUGAGUAAUUUCAAGAACCAUAAUACGACUAAUGAAAGGCUGCAAUCAACUGUUACGUACCCCAUAACUGGGUCACUUACCAGCAAAGGUAGAGAGGUCCGUUGAAGUCUGAUGGUACUAUUUUUAACAGUAUUUAUUGAUAAAAAUACACAAAAGUAAUAUCAAUGCAAACAUACAGAUAAUAUACGUCGUCAAUACUAAAUCUAAAAGCGCGGGUAUAAUAAUAAUCAAUAAGGAAUAGCUCUAUCGUUGUCUAGGGGAUAGUGUAUUGUCCAAUGGAAAUAUAAAAGUCACUUCAGUUCAUUCAAGCUGCAGCUUUCUGGUUGGAGAGAAAGACGGGUUAAAACUUGCCCAUUCCUUUUAUGAUGUCAAUCCUUUGAGAGUCGUUGGGAGUUGAUUUCCCUGUUGUUAGCUAAAAACCGUUCUUCCGUGGUCAAGGCACACUGAUUCCGGGGCAAAUGGAAAUGGACACACGUGGCCUUCCCACCGGCUUUCGUUAUUACGGGAUCGCUAGCGUUUCUUCUGGUGCGUCUGAGGGGCUGUUCCCACAGACCCUCUUUUCAUCCUGACUCACAGGGUGUCAGAUGUCAAUCAGGUUGGGAUGAUGCAAUCCCUCCACCAACCUCCCCCUUGGUUCAUUGCCUGGGGCUUCGAUGCAUCGUACAGAAUUCAAAACACAAUUCCGUCUCCAAGAGACAAUAGCCGGUAUCAAUGGCUCCGCUUUUCGGAGGCCAGUACACAUUUCAACUCUUUGUGGAUUCUGCAUGUCUUUCUCUCAUUUCCUGGGUCUCCUGAACUGCCUUAAUAGUGAUCUUGCGAUUCUCACAAAGGAGGGGGCUACCCAGCACUCAGAGCGGUGGCACAUUCAUAACACAACAAGGUGGACAAGCAUCCAGUGCACAAAAGACAACAAACUGUGGAAAUACAAAAGAAAAAAAAGAACUAAUAAUAAAUAAAUAAUAACUGUCAAGUACGUGAGAUGAAGAGGCCAUGAAAGUGAGUACAUAGGUUAUGGGAACAGUUCAGUGAUGGAGCAAGAGACAUUGAGUGAAGUUAUCCCAGUGGUUUAGAGCCUGAUGUUUGAGGGGUAAUAACUGUUAUAAUAGACAAUAGACAGUAGGGGCAGGAGUAGGCCAUUUGGCCCUUCUAGCCAGCACUGCCAUUCACUGUGAUCAUAGCUGAUCAUACACAAUCAGUACCUCAUUCCUGCCUGCUCCCCAUAUUCCUUGACCCCGCUAUCUAUAAGAGCUCUAUCUAACUCUCUCUUGAAUGCACCCAGAGUCGGCCUCCACUGCCUUCUGGGGCAGAGCAUUCCACAUAUCCACCUCUCUCUGGGUGAAAAAGUUUUUCUGCAUCUCUGUUCUAAAUGGCCUACCCCUUAUUCUUAAACUGUGGCCUCUAGUUCUGGACUCACCCAUCAGCGGGAACAUGCUUCUUGCCUCCAGCGUGUCCAAUCCCUUAAUAAUCUGUUCCUGAACCUCGUGAUGUGAAUCCUGAGGCUUCAUUACCUUCUUCCUGAUGGCAGCAGUGCGAGGAGAGCGCAAACUGGGUAGUGAGGAAGGGUCCCGGAUGAUGAAUGUUGCUUUCCUGCAGUAGUGGGAAGGGCUUUACCUGUGGUGGAUUGGGCUACAUCCACUAUUUUUUGGAGGAUUUUCCAUUCAAAAGCAUUGGUGUUUCCAUACCAGGCUGUGAUGCAACCAGUCAAUAUACUCUCUGCCACACAUCUAUAGAAGUUUGUCAAAAUUUUAGAUAUCCUGAAUCUUCAUAAACGUCUUAGGAAGUAGAGGUGCUGCUGUGCCCUCCCCACGAUUGCACAUACGUGCUGGGUGCAGGACAGGUCCUCUGAAAUGAUAACAUCAAGGAAUUUAAAGUUGCCGACCCUCUCCACUUCUGAUCACUCAGUAAGGACUGGCUCAUGGACCUCUGGUUUCCUCCUCCUUGGUCUUGCUGACAUUGAGUGAGAGUUUGUUGUUGUGGCACCACGGAGCUAGAUUCUCAGUCUCCUUCUAUAUGCUGAUUUGUCAUCACCUUUGAUUUGGCCAAUAACAGUGUUGUCACCAUUAAACUUAAAUAUGGUGUUGGAGCUGUGCUUAGCCAUACAGUCACAGAGAUAUAAAUAAAAUGGAGUCAUAGAAUUGCACACAGCAAAGGAACAGGCUUUUUGACCUACUGUGUGUAUGCCAACCAUUUGUACUAAUUCCACUUAACUGUAUUAAUUCUAUAUCUCUCAGUGCCUUGCUCAUUCCAAUAACAUAUGAAAACUGACUGUUUCAAGUUUGACACUUCCAAUAAUAAAUAAAGUUAUAAGAAAAAUAAAAAUGUUUCAUAGUGAUGGUCAGCACUUUAGUAGCACUAACUCAAAUGGAUUGUGGCUCGACCAGAAUUGGAGAGGGUUGUGGGAAAUUUUGAGCAUGACAAGGUGGAAGAUGAGACUAUGACAGUGAUGGUCAAGGAAAAUCCAACCUUUAGUAAAAAGAUUAUUUGAAAAUUUGAACAAUAGUCCAAUACAAUGAAACUGAAGAUACUUCAGAUGAUCAAGUUUAGUUCCUCAUUUGACAAAGAAGCUUGGUAUAAAGGAAGUCUUUUCCAUUUGUUUUUUUUUGAUAAUGGUAUCUCUUUCAAGCUAGGCCUCAUAAUGAUUUUAAUGUUUAGCCUGUGGGACUGAUCAAGUAAGUAUUCACUAUAACUUCUAAGUCAUUGAUGGCUCUAGUUGCGUACAAGAACAUGAAACAUAUUUAUAAUAUUCUUCUAGUAAUUUGCAGCAGUAAUUAUUUGUUUUAGUUUAAGUGUGAAUCCUCUGCUGAACUAAGUGAUAAGAGUAUCAUAAAAUGUGUUAUACUAUUAUACUUAGGUUUGCCAGGAUUGCCUCUAAGUACAAGGUGACAUUGACUUUGAAGUUAUCACUUAAAUAUGGAAAUGAGUACUGCGACCAAAGGGGGGUUUCAUACCCUUGGUGUAAAAUCUUUCUGUGAGCAUUUGCAGAAAGUCUCAAUGACCAACACACUGCACCUAGGCUGACCUUCUCAUGAAUCUGUUUGCUAUGCCCUCACUAGACCAGUGGGUGACUGUCUGGGGAAGUGUAGUAUUCAUUAUCCAAGUUCUUCAUUGAAGGGAAAGCUGAAAACAAGGGGAAAUCAUGUCAGCUCUUAGAAUAUCGUUGAGAAGAUUAUUACUGUGCUGAUACAAUUGUCUACAUUAUACUACACCCUGGUAAGCUUCCACGGUUGCUUGCUGCAUCCUCUAGUCUACAAUAUGAUGAUCAAGCCAACUUACCUUUUGCCAACAGAGGUGGAGUAAAAGGAAGAGGACGAUAGUGUCAAAAAACAGAGGGCAUAGGUUUAGGGUAAGGGAACGAGGCAGAGGGGUUCUGAGGAGGCAGAUUGUGGUUGGAAUCAGAUUGUGGUUGAUGAUGGAAGCAGGUACUUUCACAACUUUUAGGAAGUAUAUAGAUGAACAUUUAAAUUGCCAAGGCAUGGAAGGCUGUGACCAAAUGCAUGUGUGGGAUGAGGAUAGCUGCCUACUGAUUGAUGGUCACCAUGGACAAAGUGAACUGGAAGAAUCAAUGACUCUGUGUGGAGAAGGGAGAAGGUUUGUAAUGUAGAAGUCCCUUGCACUGGGAUUUCAAUGUUCAAAGUAAAUUUAUUAUCAAAGUACAUAUGUCACCACAUAUAACUCUGAGAUUCAUUUUCUUGUGGGCAUACUCAAAAAAUCUACAGAAAAAUAACUAAAAUAGAAUCAAUGAAAGACAGUCCAACUUGGGCAUUCAACCAGAGUGCAGAAGACAACAAAUUGUGUAAAUAGAAAAAACAAAUAAUAUUUAAUAAUAAUAAAUAAAUAAACAAUAAAUAACGAGUUUGAGAUUGUGAAGAGUUCUUAAAAGUGAGUCCAUUGAUUGUGGGAACAGUUCAAUGAUGGGGCAAGUCAAUUUGAGUGAAGUUAUCUCUUUUGGUUCAAGAGGAUGAUGGUUGAAGGGUAAUAACUUCCUGUACCUGGUGCUGUGAGUCCUGAGGCUCCUGUACCUUCUUCCUGAUGGCAGCAGUGAAAGAGAGCACUAUCUGUGUGGUGGGGUCCCUGAUGAUGGGUGCUGCUUUCCUGUGACAGUGUUUCAUGGAGGUGUGCUCAAUGGAGGGGUGAACUUUAUCUGUGAUAGACUGGAUCAUAUCCACUGGUAUUUGUAUGAUUUUCCAAUAAAAGGUAUUGGUGUUUCCAUACCAAGCUGUGAUGCAACCAGUUAAUAUACUCUCCACUAAACAUCUAUAGUAGUUUUUUCAAAGUUUCAGAUGUCAUACUGAACCUCUGCACACUCUCAAGGAAGUACAGACACCGCCAUACUUUCUUCAUAAUUGCACUUCUGUGCUGGGACCAAAUAAUAACACUGAGGAAUUUAAAGUUGCUGACCCUCUCCACUUCUGAUCCCCCGAUGAGAACUGGCUCAUGGACCUCUGGUUUCCUUCUCCAGAAGACAAUAAUAGGCUCUUUGGUCUUGUUGACAUUGAGUAAGAGGUUGUUGCUAUGGCACCACUCAGCCAGAUUUUCCAAUCUCCCUCAUAUGCUGAUUCAUCAUCAUCUUAUAUUUGGCCUAUGACAGUGGUGUUGUCAGCAAACUUGAAUAUGACAUUGGAUCUGUGCUUAGCCAAACAGUCGUAAGCGUAAGUCAUAAGCUUCAACAAAGAGAAGCCCAGGCACUGCUCAGAUAUAAAAGGUGAGCCAGUACUGCUCAUUUAUAAAACAGCUAGCCUAGUUACAUUUCUGGUCAACCAGAGGGCACAGGUUUAGGGCAAGGGAAAAAAGACUUGGAGGGAACCUGAAAAAGCAGAUGGUGGUUAGAAUCUGCGAUGCCCUGCUUGAAUGGAUAUGACACGAUCAUCUUUUUUCAAAACUCAACAUCUGUUGGCUAAAGUUAAACUAGCUUGAUCACCAUGUUGCAGAGGGUGCUAGUACUGCUCAGGUACAGAACAGCCAAAACCCACAUUCAACAAGACCUCAAUAAGCUGAAAAAUGGCAGAUAACAGUCACUGCAUACAAACAUGAGAUAAUGGUUGCCUUCAUCUCAAGUCUAAACAUCCUGUCCUUGACAUUAAAUGACAUUCCUUUUGCAGAUUUCCUCCCACAUCGGGUUAUUGUUGACCAGAAAUGUAAUUAGGCUACCCACAUAACACCAGUUUCUACAAGAGUAGAUCAAAGGACUGGUAUCCUGUGGUGAGUGACUCAUUUCUGACUCAAUAAAGCCAUUCCACCAUUGGCAGGACACUAGUCAGCAAUGAGAUGGAGUAGUUUUUACACUCAGGUAAUUGCAGCUUCAACAACACAAAGAUUUAUAUACCAUGGGGGUCAAAGCAGAUCCUGGACUGCCACCCCAUCAACUAUCCUAAACACCCAUUGUCUUCACCCAUGGUAUAUAGUAGCAGUGGUAUGAAUCAUCAACAAAAAUGCUCUGCAGUUUUCCAGCAUAUGAAGCACCACCACCUGGAAGCUCUUCACCGAAUCACAGCCUAUGCUAACUGGAAAAGUACCUCUAUAAAUUGUGUCACCUGUGCUAACUCCCAUAACUAUCAAAUCACAAGGGCUAAAGUAUUUCAAAUAGGUUAAUUAAACAUAAUUUACUUCUUACAAAUCUUUACUAACUCUUACUAAUUAACUCAAGCCUCUCCAAUAAUUUCCUUAACUAAUACUUCUAUAAUUUAUCUAUUACCAAUGCUAGAGUAGAAGGCCCAUGAUUACCAAGAAUGAUCUUACAAUCUAUCUUGAACAUUUUUGAGUCCCAUUGUAUUUCUCCUCAUCUUGGAAAGAAUGGAAGAUUUUGGUAAGGUCUUCCACCAGAUCCUUUUAGGAACAUAGGAUACCCAUGGAAUACCCAUUCUAACCAUAGAAUUCUCCAGAAUAUUCUGCAUACUUAUUUUCACUCCAAACCAUUACCUCUACCAUUUAUAUGAAUUUAAAUAUUUUAUCAGAAUAAUCUUCCUUAAUAAACACCAAUAAAAAUAGCAAUUAAGCAUUCAAGAUCUGACUUGCACUUGUAAGCAUACACCCCCUUUAUUUUCUCUAAAAUGUCCCAUUCUGCCUCUUCCCAGAUGCUUAUGUUAACAUGUUGGUAGAAGAACUCGUGUUCCCCUUUAUGUAGCCACGAUUCUGUUCGAUAUUCUGUCUUUGCCUGCAUUGUUUUCCUCAUUUCCUCUCUCAACUUACUAUACUUAUUCUGGUUUUCAUUUAAAGGAGUUACUUGAUAUGCAUCAUGUACACUCAUUUUUAGUUUUAAUAGGUUCUUUAUCUAAGGAUCUUUGGCUUUGGUUUUCCUAUUUGUGGCAUUGUAACGAGCCUCCAGCUGGAACACCUCAUCCUUGAAAAUGUUGCUUUAUUAUGCUUUGGGGCUUUCUCUCAUUUUUUUGGUUAUUAUUGGAGAAUGCAUCAGAGAUUAAAGGAACUCUUUCAUGAAAACCACAUAACAGCUGUAUAAAAGGCUGCCAUGGAGGUGAGAGGGAUUAUUAGAGAAGGGAAAUGAGGAGAGUCUUCUUUGAAGGCACCCUUCAUGUGACUACUUGCCCUGGCACCACACUACUGCAAGAUACUGGAUGAGUAAUGAUGUAGAGGUUUCAGCAGCUAGCUCUGAUGUGUGUAGUAUAAAGAAAUAGCAACCAGUGAUUAGAUUUCAAUCACCCUGAAAAUCAAACACUGAGGCUGAAAGAUGCUGUCAGUAACACACAGGAUAUGUUCCUAGAGGAACUUGGGUCUCAGCCCGAAAUGUUGACUGUUUACUCUUUUCCAUAGAUGCUACCUGGCCUGCUGAGUUCCUCCACAUUUUUGUGUGCAUUACUUUGAUUUCCAGCAUCUGCAGAUUUUCUCCUGCUAUGGUAAACCAUAGAUGUGGAAAUUCCUUACUUGAUUUUCACUUUAUUUGUCUACCUGCACUGCACUUUCUCUAUCACUGCAACAUGAUAUUCUGCAUUCUGUUUUUCUGUCUGGAUGGCAUGAAAAUGAAAACUUUUCACUGUAUCUUGGCACACGUAACAAUAAUAAAAGAAUACUAACACAGCACAAUGUCCUCCUAGUGUUCGUGACUUUUCAAAAUUAGUCACAAGUUGCAACCAAAAGCUGAAAUUUAUGCUUAUAAAUGAAGAAAAACUGUGGAGUACUCCCUACAACGUGACUUACUUUGGGAAAACACCAGGUAAAUUCAAAUACUAUUGCCAGUUUCCUGAUGGGAGCAACUUUUUCUAGAUAUUAUCACUAGUGUGAUCUACCCUUUGUUAAGUCAUUUUUUUGUCCUAAAAAUGUGCACUAAUGGAUCAAAUUUCCUGGCUGAGGGUGCAUUGUCCAUUUCCCCCUCAUUGCUACUCCAUGCUUGUGUUAGGCAAGUCCACAAUUUAAUUUGUGGGUCAUGAAUUGACACAAAAUACAUCAAUUUCUCCUGACAUUGAAGAAAAUUCCAAUCUACUUUUGAAAAAUGGAAAGAAGUUUGCAUUUUCCCCACUAUUUUAUUAUAAAGACACAAUUUGGUUUCCACAGGUAUAUUACAGUUCAACAGAUAGAGGGCUGUAUUGAGUUGGCUGUACUCACAUUUCUGAAGGUAGAUAACAAGUUUCGGUGGACUUCUCUUGCAGGUUUUGGACUUGCUGAAUUACAGGUGCCAGAGAAUUGAACACACUGCAACAUUGUUGUGAAGAACAAUGAUGGAACUUUGUCUUGCUGGGUGACCUGGAAAUCUUAAAGCUAUUUGACCCACAGUGCUGUUGGCUGAAUUGAAGAUAUGAAGAUAUGAAAAUGUGAUAGAGAAGAGAUCGAUCGGAGGUUUGGAUCAAAGCCCAAAGUUUGAUCAGAGGUCCAGAUCAAAGCUUAAAGGUCAAAGAGAAGUCCAGAACUUGAGGCUUAUUGGCUGGAGCUGGAAUCCAUGAAUCUCCAUAAGACUAUUGGAGAAGCUGGGGCUAAGCGUCUAUGAAUCCAGGAGUCCACUAGAAGUUGAAGAAGAUAAUUGUCUUGGAGAUAGAGGAAGAGAAGAACGAGGCUUGCUUUGCUGUUGUUGCUUUGCUGCUUGGCAUGCACAGUAAAUACAAGAAACAUGAUAGGACCCACAACGGACUGCACCCAACAAGACAAACAAGCAACCAAUGUGCAAAAGACAAUGAGCUGUGCAAAUACAAAAAGAAAACUAAAAAAAGCUAUAAAUAUUGGAAACAUGAGAUAAAGAGUCUUCGAAAGUGAGUCCAUAGAUUGUGAGAAGAGUUCAGUGAUGGGGCGAGUGAAGUUGAUUGAAGUUACUGUCUCUGGUUCAAGAGCCUGAUGGUUGAGGGCACUGGGAAAAAUGUAAAAACUUAAUUGUUUUUGAGAAUAUACAGAACUUCUCAACUUUAUUGCCAACUAAACUCAAGUCUUGAACUUUUUUUAAAAUCACUAUUUUUUUGCAACACCAACAAAUUACAUUCAAUACAACCAGUUGCCGAUUACAUUUUGAUUGUUUAACCCAGCCAUCCCCCAACCAUCACCAUCUCCCCUCCACCCUUUAUCCUGAUCCCCACCCCACUUUCCACCCCUCAUCCUCAUCCCCACCCCCUUUCCACCCCUCAUCCUCAUCCCCACCCCUUCUCCACCCCUCCCCCCAUCCUUCUCCCCUCCACCAACCAACUGAAUAGUAGUGUAUACACGGAUAGAGCAUUCCUAUUUUAAAAGAAGAUCUUUUAAGUUAGAUAUCAAAUUUGUCCACAUUAAGAUUGUGUUUGGUCAUGCAUCAUUUACUCUUGCUGAUGAUAAUUCCAGGUAAGAAAUGUCCAAAAGGCUCUGAAGCCAGUGAGUACUUGAAAUAUCAUGAGGAGGUUUCCAAUGCUAGACUACAAUCUUCUUAGCUGCACUCAGGCUGGCCAGCCAGACUUUGCGUGCUUUUACCGUAAGGGAAAGGUGGGAGUUAUCAUUUAGAAGAUGUACAGUGGGGUCCAUUGGAAUAGUACCACCGUUAGUUCUGUAAGAGUACUGAUAACCUUCCCCCACAAGCCAAAACACCCCGGACAUUCCCAUAUAACAUGUAUAAAAGAGCCAACGGUUCCGUGGGGGCAAAAUGAGCAAUAUGGGUCAGGAACAGUCCCAUUUGAUGUCUAAUUCUCGGUGUUAAAUAUACUCUGUGACAAAAUUUCAAGUGUAUAUACUGAUGAUUUGGGUUUUUCGAAGAACUGGCAGCAUUAUCCCAAAUCGCAUCCCAGUCUAAGUCUUGUCCCAAUUCAGAUAAGUCCCUAUCCCAGGCUUUCAUUACUGAUGUGGUCAUAUCUUUCUGGGAGUUUAAUUUAUCAUAGAUAUAUGACACUAUCUGUCCCGGAGCACUCUGUAUCCAACUUAAAAUGGGAUGAAGUCUUGAACUUUUUUUGAUCUUUGUAAUCUUGUAUAUAUCUGAUUUUAUGUUUGCCCUUUGAAUUUCCUUUUUGUCUAGUAAUGAAAUUAAAUCUCAUUUCACUUUCUUCAAUUUUAGCUUUUUUCCGCCAAGAUCUUUUGUUUUCCUCUUGUUUUGGACAUUCACAGAUUGUUUAUUGCUACAGUAUCAGAAGAUGUGCAGCAUGAUCAAAUAUAUUUUCCCUCGAUUGAGCUCUAGCUAAGAAUCAAUAGCUUGAAGUGGAGUAGGACUCAGAAGACUUUACACACUCAUGUGUGUUAUUACUGAAAAAUCUGUACUUUGCUUGUUUAACAUGACUUACUUCACCAAAAGUUGUACUUUGUGGAAACAAAGAAAAUUACACUGUUUCUCUGAACACUUUCCAUAAAGUACUCCAGCACAAUGCAGAAGUCUAUAAUCGACCACAUCUGUGGUUGCUUUCAAUAAAAUUACUUCAGUUUGGUGUACACCAUGCUCCCACGUAAGUAUCAGUUGUAACUGAAACAUAUGCUGUAAGUUGAAGACCCUUUUUAAACAACAAAAUAAGUGGUUUGCAUAAAGACCUAUAAUGUAAACUAAAGUCUAGAAACAGUUCCAAAAAUGAUGUCAUAAUUGCCAGCACUCACCCGAAAUGAACAUAAUUGUACAAUGUGACUGCCAUAUGGUAAAUUCAAGCCAUUCAAAUACUUAAUUCUGCUGUUGCAAGUUUUCAAAAAUAAGGUCCAUCUUAUUGUAUAAUUAACAUCCUCUGUCAUGAAUAACUAAAAGAUGGUUAUUUUUUCAUAUGUAUUAGAUUUAUUUGUAUCAUGUAACAAAUCUCUAGACAUGGUGAGCUUAUGAGAGGCUAGAGAGGGUGCUGACACUUCACUAAGUUAAAUUCAGCAAUUCAGCUUUUGUACAAUGACCUGUAACUCAAAUCAAGUGACUGAACAGCUCUGCCAGUGAAUGAGAAAAUACAUACAACUUCGAAUCUUUCUAAACUCCAGCUGGGAGACAGAUGCAAGAUCCAAUAGGGAGAAAAUAUAUACGCUUGAAAGGUUUUCUUCAGGAAAGGGGAAGAACCUGUAAUGUUAGUUUCAGUUUUGGGCAGCAAGGAAGGAACAUCUGUUUUCUCAUCUUGUUGGUUGUUCCAAUGUUUAUGUUAUUGUGAGGAACUUGUAUCUCCUCAACAUUUGGUCUUUUCUUUUAAAUUUUUGAUGACUUAUCUGAUUAUACAUCUCAUGAAAACCUCUUGCUUCCCAGCACUAAAUGCGCAGUCAGUUGUGUGGCAUGAUAGUUUCUCAGAAUUGUUGUUUCUAUGCCUUUUAAUCCCACAUUCACUGCCAAACUCCUCAGCAAGAGAUCAAAAAGUUAUCUGAAGGUAAGCUUUGCUAAAUCCACUACAAAAUACAGAGUUGAAACCUGAAAGUGAACCUCUGGGCAAAGUAAGGUUUGGUACGCAUGAGGGUGAGAAAUCUGGACUUCAUAAAAAUCAGUGCUCAAAGGAUUGGAGAGAUUACCUGUUAAUAUUGCGACUUUGCUCUGAACUAACAAGCAAUCUCAUUGGCCAUAGAGACAUUAGAUUGCAUUUAUUUUUGUAUUUUGCGUCGGUAUGGGUUAAUGAAAAAGUAAAAUUUCUUCCACAUGCCCAACACUAUCACAUUUCCAGCUCCAGAAAAGCUAAUGUAUUACAUCAGUUUUGACCUAAAUUGUAUAAUUUCUGGGCGAAUAUGUCAGAUUGAACAGAACUUCUGUCUUUUUGAUAAGUAAGGACUUUCACCAUCUAGGAACUAGGCCAAGCAUAGCUAAUAUUGUUGAACUCAUUUUUCUUUCAUAAUUUGUAAACAGAUUUGUAAAAAUUGUAACGGAUAUUCUAAAAGUUCAUAGAAUCAUAGAAAUAUAUGACACAGGUGUGUAUUCACCUUGUUGGGCCCACAUUGACUGAAUGGACAUUGGUAAUCCUACUUUCCAGGUCUUCCUCUGUAGCCCUACAAGUGAUGACUCUUGAAAUGAUAAUUGAGGAACUUUAAAAAUGUAAUGAGUUUUUCUGCCUCCAUCAUCACUUUAGAUAGUUCCAGACCUCACCACUUUUUGAAUCUUUGAGUGAGCAUUUCCUGAAGUCAUAGAACCACAGAGUUGUAGAGCAUAGAAAUGAGCCUUUUGGUCCAACAAAUCUAAACCAAUGCAUUUACUCCCAUCUCGCAAGGAUUGCAUUUUUAAAAUUCUCUCCAUAUUCUCAACAAAUCCCCUCAGAUUCUAUAAUUAACAUCACAAUAAUCAUUUAAAGUCUAUGUUUCUAUAUGGAAUUCUCUACUUAGGGAACUACAUCCUUCCAAUUCAGCUCAUCUUUUUCUCCUCAUAAUUUUAUCCUUCUUAACUCUUUCCUCACACUCCUGUGUUUCAUGGUUAAAAAGCCUAGAUGCUCUUUCCUCCUAUAAUUCUACAUUCUCAACACUAGCACAACCCAAACAGACUGGUAUAUUCACUGGCUACUGUAAGUGCCACCUGAUGUUGUCAUUGAUGAAAGUGAUGGAAAACGUCAUCAGCAUGCCAAAACUGAUUGGACAGAAUAUAAUUGAAAACAAUGAAUGGCUAGAAGAUUAAUAAUGAAUGAAAAUUUUUAGUAUAAGAUACUGCUAUCCAGAAAUAAAUAUAAAAAAUAAGAACUGUGAACACAGGAAGUGAUUUUGAGUAAUUAACAAUGGUUAGCAAGGAGCUGGCGGAUCAAUUACAGAGACACAAGAGAUGCUGCAGAUGCUGGAAAUCCAGGCAACUCACACAAAAUGCUGGAGGAUCCCAGCAGGUCAAGUGGCAUCAAUUGAGGGAAAUGAACAGUCAAUGUUCCAGGCCAAAACCCUUCAUCAGGACUGGAAACAUAGAAGUGAGAAUAAAAGAGUGGGUGGAGGGGAGGGGGGAAAACACUAGCUGACAUGUGGUAGGUAAAUUCAGGUGAGAAGGGGAAGCAGGAGGUAGGGAAGGAGGCUAACAGAAAGUGACGUGAGAUGUUGGGAGUUGGAAGAGGCAAAGGAUGGAAGAAGAAGAAAUCUGAUAGGAGAGGAUAAUAGACCAUGGAAUAAAGGGAAGAAAGUGUGGAACCUGAUGAAGGAAAAGAUGAUGGCAGAUGAUAUGAGGGCAGGAUAGAGGAAAGAGAAGGGGCAAUUAUCUCUGCAACUGUGUUAAGUGUUACACCUCCUCCCUCUCGCCAUUCAGGGCCCUAAACAGUCCUUCCAUAUCAGGCGGUAUUUCACAUGCAUCUCCAUGGGUGUAAUUUAUUACAUCCAGUGCUCUUGGUGAACCUCCUUUACAUCAGUGAGACCUGAUACAGCUAUAGCUUCAUGUUGCCAAGCAUCUUUGCUCUGUUCCCCACAACAACCAGGGUCUAUCCAUGGUCAGCCAUAUUAAUUCCACUUCCUAUUUCCACACCGGCAUGUCUGUCAAUGGUUUCCUCUGCUGCCAAAUUGUGACCAGACACAGACUGGAGGAACUAGGAUUUUCCUAAUUUCUGUUUCCCAUCCCUUGUUUUCCCUUAUUCCUCUGGCCCCUUUACCCCUUCUCUUUCCCCUCCCUCAACCUAACAACCUGCCCAACACUUUCACCUUCCUCUCUCUGAAUCCCCACGUCCUUCCCUAUAUUCCAAUGUCCACUGUUCUCUUCUAUCAAAUUUCUUAUUUGCCUCCUCCAGCCCUUUGCCCCUUCCACCUUUAACUCCCAGCUUCUCAUAUCAUUCACGUUUCAUUCCUCUCCACCCUCCCACCUUUCCCCAUCACCCGGAUUCACCUAUCACCUGCCAACUUGAGCUCUUCACCCCACUCCUGCCUUCUGCCCUUUUCCUUUCCAAUCCUGAUGAAGGGUCUCGGUCUGAAACAGUGACUAUUCAUUCCCCUCCAUAUAUACCGCCUGACCUGUUGAGUCCCCCCAGUAUUUUGUGUGUGUUGACAAGUGAACUAAACAAGUAUUUUGCGUCAGGCUUCACCACAGAAGAUCUGGUGGUAGUGUGAUCGCUUGAGUUGAGUAGGACAUUCUCCUAAGGGAUUAGCUAUUGGUGGGUCCUCAGAUGGCUGUAGAGGUUGAUCCGGGAUCCACAUACUCUCUUGUAGUGUGGGCAAGAGAAAGCGAUGAUCAUAGAUAGUAGUCAGGCUGUUCACUACAGAAAAUAUAACAUCCCAGCAAAGCUGUAAAUCAUGAAUUGGAAUGCAAAAAAUUUAUAAUAAUCAAGAUAGUGGUACUGAGCAAUUUAUUGGAGCUGUGGAUUUAUAAAUCCAUGAGUACUGUAUGUUAUUCCCGGUUUGUUAAAGAAGACACUAAUGUUAUAGGUGGUGUUGUGUUUAAUUCCCCAAUAUUUCCUUUAUUUGGGGAAUAUUCCAUUAGACUGGAAAAUCGCAAAUGUAAUUUCUUUUUUUUUAUAUAUGUCAUGAUUUCGGCUUUGCAUUCAAACAUUAAUUUGAACUUCUCAUUUGACUGUUCAAUCUCACAGUGGAUCUAAAUACAUCUGUAAAUAAUUAGCCCUAUGUGCUACUGUCAUUUACUGUCAUCAAUAAACUCAGCAAGUUUCCUGUUGGCUUUAACAUGCUGGUAAUUUAUAUAGAUCAUAAACCAUUGUGAUUAAACACCAGAAUAUGUAGUGUCUCUGUACUCAUCAUCAGAGUCAUCAGGAAAUGCUCAUCGUUUUUCAUUGAAUCAAAUUGACUUUAUUUCUUACAUCCUUCACAUACACAAAGAGUAAAAAUCUUUACGUUACGCCUCCAUCUCAAUGUGCAAAGUGUAAUCAUCGUAAUUUAUAAUAAUUUAUAAUAAAUAGAACAGUCAAUGUAAUAUACUCAAAGCAGCGUGAGUUUAUCAGUCUGAUGGCUGAGUGAAAGAAGCUGUCCCAGAGGCUGUUGGUCUUGGCUUUUACACUGUGGUAACGUUUCCUGGAUGGUAGCAGCUGGAAUAGAUUGUGGUUGGGAUGACUUGGGUCCCCAAUUAUCCUAUGGGCCCUUUUCACACGCCUGUCUUUGUAAAUGUCCUGAAUCAUGGGAAGUUCACAACUACAGAUAUGCUGGGCUGUCUGCAUCACUCUCUGCAGAGUCCUGCGAUUAAGGGAGGUACAGUUCCCAUACCAGGCAGUGAUGCAGCCAGUCAGGAUGCUCUCAAUUGUGCCCCUAUAGAAAUUUCUUAGGGUUUGGGGCCAUGCCAAAUUUCCUCAACCAUCUGAGGUGAAAGAGGCGCUAUGGUGCCCUUUUCACCACACCGCUGGUGUGUACAGACCAUGUGAAGUCCUCGGUGAAGUAGAUGCCAAAGAACUUAAAGCUGUUUACCCUCUUAACCCAGAUCCAUAGAUGUCAAUAGGGUUUAGCCUAUUUCCAUUCCACAACCAAAUCCUUUGUUUUUGCGACAUUGAGGGAGAGGUUGUUUUCUUGACAUCACUGUGUCUGAGGGACUUCUUCCCUGUAGGCCACCUAAAUAUUUUUUGAGAAAAGGCCAAUCAAUGUAGUGUUGUCAUCACACUUAAUUACCAGAUUAGAGCUGUGGGUGGCAAUACAGUCAUGGGCAUACAGGAAGUAAAGGAGGGGACUCAGUACGCAGCCCUGAGGGGCUCCUGUAUUGAGAGUCAGAGGGUUGGAAGUGAGGGAGCCCACCCCUACAACCUGCUGGCAAUCUGACAGGAAGUCCAGGAUCCAGCUGCACAAGGUAGGGUCAAAGCCGAGAUCUCUGAGCUUCUUGUCGAGCCUGGAUGGAGCUAAGGUAUUGAAUGCAGGACUGUAGUCCAAGAACAGCUUUCUCACAUAAGCAUCCUUCCUCUCCAUAUGGGUAAAUUUGUACAUAGAAUGGAAGUGGUCAGUGAACUAAAUCAUGCUGGUGAAACAAAGGAAGAAAGCAAUGAUGACCUUACACAAUCAGAGUAUGUAUGGUCUCAGGAAUGUAGUUCUAUAUUAUCAACAGCCACACAAUCCAAUCAAGUUGGAAACAAUUACACCACAAACCAACCACCAACUAGCUCAGCGAUCAUCAUAAAAUGAACAGUGCAGAACAUGCAGCAAUUCCCUGGUUCGAAAGCGUUGACUUUGUAUGAGUCUUAAUCACCUUUCCAAACUGAUAGUUUUUAAGGCUUGUUAAUAUUAGCAGUCCUGUGCCUCAAUAAUAAUUUUACAGAUUAGCUUAAGUGGCUGUAAUAAUUUAUUACAAUUCCAUAAUGGAGCAUCACUGUCCAGUCCACUGUCGAUACAAUCACUUCUAGUUUCAAGACUGUAAUGUGAAACUCCUGUAACUUGAAUUCUGAAAACCCCUGCAUGACAAUACAAGAUAGCUGCACAGUAAAGGUAUUGUGAUCUUUCACAGUCCUAUUUUAUUCCAUUGUCUGUUUUUGAAUGUAUUUUAACAGCUUAAUAAAUAAUUUCAAGAUCUUUUCAAAUCAUGGUUUACUUAUUAUUUUCCUUUUUUCUGCUGAUUGCUUGUUAUUCAUUUAUUUGAGUAAUUGUUUGUUGUUUUUUUGCUAUGAAUAAAUAAAUGUCUAAUUGCACGCCGCUUUCUCUGUAACCAACACUUUAUUCUGCACAAACAUGAGAAAAUCUGUAGCUGUUGGAAAUCCAAAGCAAUGCACACAAAAUGUUGGAGGAACUCAGCAGGUCAGGCACCAUCUAUGGAAAUGAA